rnacentral:rRNA from 1 species
GACGAACGCUGGCGGCGUGCCUAAUACAUGCAAGUCGAACGCAGUGGGGACGGGUGAGUAACACGUGGGUAAGCUCCCAUCAGAGGGGAUAACACUUGGAAACAGGUGCUAAACCGAUACGGAUGGCUGGACCGGCGGUGCAUUAGCUAGUGGGUGGGGUAACGGCUCACCAAGGCCACGAUGCAUAGCCGACCUGAGAGGGGGAGUGGCCACACUGGGACUGAGACACGGCCCAGACGCCGACGGGAGGCAGCAGUAGGGAAUCGUCGGCAAUGGACGAAAGUCUGACAGAGCAACGCCGCGUGAGUGAAGAAGGUUUUCGGAUCGUAAAACUCUGUUGUUAGAGAAGCGGUAUCUAACCAGAAAGCCACGGCUAACUACGUGCCAGCAGCCGCGGUAAUAC